rnacentral:misc_RNA from 1 species
GAUGAAGAACGUAGCGAAAUGCGAUAAGUGAUGUGAAUUGCAGAAUUCAGUGAAUCAUCGAAUCUUUGAACGCACAUUGCGCCCGCCAGUAUUCUGGCGGGCAUGCCUGUUCGAUCGUCAUUUCAACCAUCAAGCCCCCGGCUUGUGUUGGGGACCUGCGGCUGCCGCAGGCCCUGAAAACCAGUGGCGGGCUCGCUAGUCACUCCGAGCGUAGUAAUACAUCUCGCUCAGGGCGUGCUGCGGGUUCCGGCCGUUAAAAAGCCUUAUUUACCCAAGGUUGACCUCGGAUCAGGUAGGAAGACCCGCUGAACUUAAGCAUAUCAAUAAGCGGAGGA